GUUAUUUUUCCAUUUGGGGUUUAUUAGACAGGAAAUUGCAGCUUUUUCGAAGCUUGUGUAGAUUUUGUAAAUCGCAAAUGGAAGACUCUCGGAAAAAAUAAAUCCAAAUAAGGUGCCUCUGCUAUUGUCAAUCGCAAUCUAUUAUUCUCCUUUUAGUAGAACUGAGAAUAACACUUCACAGUUCAAUUUGCUGAAACCUGUCUCUUAAUUUUUCGGCUAACUAGUUGAGGUUUGGACACAGAUUUUGAAGACAACAAGUAUUUGUCAGCAUCUUGUUUCAGCAAUCUUUCUAGAUGCCCUGGAAGGCCAGCCUAGAUAUUUUGGGCUUCAAAAGGCUCAAAGCCAAAGAUGCUAACUAUCCAAUGUGACUCUGGAAAAUGCCUAGCUUUGUGAUGGACACAGGCAUAUCUUUAUUGAAAUCCAGCUUUCUGCCAGAAGAGUAUGAAGACAUUUCACUUGGGAAUGUUCUAGGCAAAACAAUCCUCAGCAAAAAUGAUCGAAAAAAAAAAUACAUCAAGAUGCAGUCAUCAUUUUCAGGGGAUGCUCAUGGAGUCAAACACAUCCAUCUUCCAGAAACACAUCUCUUGGGCUCCAUAUCUUCAAAUGCUGGACUGGGUAAGAUAGUAAACCCAAUCCACUCCUGAUUCUUGUGCUCUUACUGCAGGCAAGCUCUUAGAGGUGAGUCUAAGUGCAGUCCAAGAAGAAAUUAAUCAGAAUGCAUACAUUAAAAAGGCACUGCUUUCUCCCAGAGAGCCUAGCACCAUGCCUGACAACAGAUUCUGGGUGACUUUACAAAAAGCUGCUGAAGUACAUCCUCCUUAAUCAUUAACUUGCAGAAGAAGUGAGAAAAUGUGUGCAUUUUAGAGAAACAGUGGGGAGAAGCUUCUGAAACUAUACAAAUUCAGGAAAAUAAAUAAAUAUAUAUAUAUGACA
rnacentral:lncRNA from 12 species